rnacentral:lncRNA from 1 species
UCAGUUCGAAAUUGCUGCGGAUGGAGGACGUGAAGAAGAGCAGCAGCAGCAGCGAUCUGCAGUAGGAGAGCGUGGAGAGGAGCAGCAGAGAGGAAGACUAGGACAGUCACACGUACAAAUCUUCUUGUCCGAAAUUUUACAUGGACAUAAAAGCAAAAAUAGCAAAUAACACUAAUGAAUUCCUCACUUCAACUAAGGUCCACAUUUUCAGAUCAGUGACUCUUUCAUUAUCCAUCGAACCUGCAUGCGGAAGCAAUAUAGUAAUAAGUUUCAUGUGCGAAAUCUAGACAUCAGAUUGUACACCAUUUCCUAACAAUGGUAAACUUGACAUCCAACAUCACAGAAUGACAAUAAAUUUGUGAACACAUAGUACAGCUAGGUAAUAUCUGUGAAGACAUAGUGCAUCACAAGCAGUAAAUAGUAUAACUAGCUUUCACCUCUUGUACGACAGCCGCUAGCAAGUUCAAAUAGUCCAAUUCAAUUGUUGAUCGAUUGAAUUUUCAUCAUGAUACAACACCAGCUGCAGCUGCCAAGGUUCAGCUAGUCCCAAAGUUCAAGGAUUUAUUUUUCUUUCUUGGUUGACUAAAACCGGCAAGGAGCUAAGCUGAGAGGAACACAACAAACACUCAAGCCAAGUAAAAUAAAGCAUUGAUCUUCCAGGAAACCAAGAGGCUAAACAGAGAGGCAUUCACAUGUUAAGGGAAAGAAAUGGAAGUCAACAAUAAGUUUAAUCAAGGUGCAUCUUCAGAGUGACACCUUUGUGCAUUUUCAAACUAUUGUCCACUUGAUUUUCAGAAAAUACUAUGAAAUAAAUAUAAUAGUCUUGUCAACAAAUGAUAUAAGUGUAUGUACUCCCACUGAUUUGAUAUAGGUCCAAGUAUUACUCUUAACAUAUAGAAAUAUACAGGUACAUGUAAUCAUCUCUCAUCUUGUCCCUGUUAUUCAGAUUUGGAUAAAAAAAUCAACACUGGAUUCGGAGUACUACUCGAUAUAGAUUCUCAAAAUCAUCAUUUAGUUUAGCAGACAUCUGUUAUAUUUUUUAAACCUUCUUGUACAUUUGCUUUAUAAGAAAAUAAUCUUUGCCUUGUUCUUAUUAUAGAUGUUCUCCAUUCCUGGGCACAAAUCUGUUAUUACCUUAGAAGAGUCAUGUACAUACAUGUUCCUAUUUAUAUUGCAAAUAGGGUCCUUGUUCUGAGUAUUCUCACUUGUGUUCUCUCCCAUAUAUACAUGGACUCUAUACUGAAACUAUAAAUUCAAUGUUAUUAGUUUUGUAGUGGAUAUGACAAUAAGGGAUGACAUUUAAAAAUAGAAGGGAGAAAGAGUACUAGGACUUUGUACACUUUUUCCUUGUGCAAAUCCAUGCCACAUUUUCAGUGACUUGUAACCGAUAAUAAAAAUUUACCGACGUUUGUGAUGGCAGGUACACAAUGAAAGACUGAAGCUAGGGGAGAUCACACAGUUCAGUGAGAUGCUAUUAUGUGUUAGUCAUGAUGUACUCACAUUAAAAAAAUUGUUUUAAAUAUUUACAGUCCCAAAAUCUUGAAUAUUUCUGAAACUUCAACUAUAAUUUCUAACUGUGGAUGUGCCCUGCUUACACUAUAUAAGAAAUGUAUCAAAUGUUCCCUGAAAAACUGAAUUCAAAGAUGAAUGUUUACUCAGUGCGAUGCUUACACUACAUUCCCUGAAUAUUUCAAGCAUUCCCUGUACAAACUGAAUUCAUUGAUGAAUGUUUACUUAGUGCAACGUUUAAACUGUAUUCCUGUAUAAAUACUGUUCAAUCCUUGACCAACCGAACAGCGAUGAAGUAGACAGGGAUUAUGAGGGAUAGUGGACAAACCCCAACAGGGAUUAGAGUGACAGAAAGAGGUUUCACUCAAACCCCAUAUUGAUCAAUUCACUGUUGGGAACAAAUCACAAACUGAACAUAGCCCAGGUGGUACAGUACAUCUCUGAAAUUGUAACAAGCCCGAAGCUCCUCCCUCUCAGUUGAUUUGAUCGCAAAGACAGGGGAAUGGAUUCAUCUCUCCUAUCUGACAGUCCAUCCCCUUCAUUAUCUACCAAAUCACGUCCCACGGCCAUGUCUCGAGGUGGCCAUGAAUAAGGUCACUAGAUGAGAGGAGACGGGAAGGAGGAAGGGAGGGAGGGUUACCUCGAAGGCCAGUCUCGCCCGUACAUGGUAAGGGAGAAGAAGGGCGGCCGGAGGAGCGGCGCGCCGCCGGCGGGCAGGCUGGAUGGGCAGACAGAGGAGCAGGGGACGCAAGCAGCAUCCGACUUGCAGCUUUCCUACCGCGGCCUUGCGGCUUCUAAA